rnacentral:tRNA from 1 species
GGGGAUGUAGCUCAAUGGUAGAGCACUUGCCUGGCAUAUGCAAGGCCAUGAGUUGAAUCCCCAGCACCUCCA